rnacentral:misc_RNA from 1 species
CACGUCCUCCAAAAUGUGUCCACUGAAUGCGCCAACAACACUUUGCAAUUUCUUACUGAUAUCGCCAACGGCCUGCCCUAUGCGAGCCAGAUGUGGUUAUCCAAUGGAGACUUUCUAAAUCUGGACGUCCUGACUACUUACAACACCCAUAGUAUCGGUAAUGUGGAGCAGUGCCAGGUAGUCAAGGAUUGGAACCCAGACGCCCCGUUUGAGACGCAAUACUGCACCCUCUCUUACUUGGCCUUGGCAACGACUCUUCGCGUUGGUGUGUGUGUGCCCUCGAGCUGUUCAAAUGCCGACCUAAAGGAAGUUUUUGGAGUUAUUCCAGCUCUUGGAAAAAGUGCCGAGUUUAAUUGUAUUUUCGACUAUCCUUGGAAAACAGGAGCAAUUGUGACACUAUGUCUCCUGUGUGGCUUCCUGCUUAUGGUUGUCAUUGGAACAGUGUACCACCUGACUUGUCACAGACAAAUCCAGGCCAGCAUCACUGAAACAAAAGCCAACAUUGAAAAGAUGGAGAAAAAUCUUUCUGAAGAGAAAAUGACGAACUCUGUCAAAGAGACGCAAAUCGAGCUAAAAGCUAGCAUCAACGGAAAUAGCGACUGGACAGGGAUGAUGCACUUAGGUAAAAACGGCCAAACAGCUCAUGACAAUGAUGGGUUCAUCGACGUAGAGGGCGGUCUGGAGAGAACAGAAAAUGUCGACCCUGCAUCAAACGCGCCUACGUACAGUGCCAGCGAUAUAAAGGGUAGUAAGAAAAAAGUUAUCAAAAUGGGUUUUGUGGAUACUUUACUUAUGGGUUUCUCAGCAUUGCACAACGGUGCAAAGGUCCUGAACACUGAAGAGGCGGCUGGAAACCUGAGCGUCCUGAACGGGAUCCGUGUCAUCAGCAUGUGGUGGAUUAUUCUUGGCCACACCUUUGAUAUUAUUCCUCCUUAUUUAGAUGAUCCUCGCUAUGCGACCACGGAGCUGUUCUCAUCGUUUUGGUUCUCCGCUGUCAUGUAUUUCUCAGUGUCUGUCGACACUUUCUUCUUCCUCAGUGGUCUCCUUCUUGUGUACAAUACCUUGAAGCAUCUCAAGAAAUCCAACGGUAGAAUGAACUGGGCUCUCUUCUAUCUCCACCGCUUCAUCCGCAUCACUCCGGCCUACAUGAUCUGCAUCGCUGUCUUUUCCACCUUGAUCGUCCAUUUCAAUGAGGGUCCAGGCCAAAUUGAACUAUUCGAAAGCUCAGCGAGAAUCUGCCGGGAGCGAUGGUGGACAAACCUACUCUACAUCAACAACUUGUAUCCGUUUCCCGGUAGUUUAGGCGAACAGUGUGUGGGUUGGUCCUGGUAUCUGGCGAACGACAUGCAGUUCUUCGUGAUCAGUCCUGUUAUCAUUUAUCUACUGUAUAGGUAUUCCAAGCUUGGAAUUGGAUUGAUUGUUGCAUUGUGUUUGGGUUCCUUUGGCAUCACUGCCUACUUAGCCACUUACUAUGGUGUAUCGCUUGGAGUCAGCCCACCAUACAAUAACAAUACUGUUGUUGUCUAUGGAAAUGCUGCUGCAGAUGUCAUAUACAUGAAGCCAUAUUGUCGCAUCCCUCCUUAUUUGGUGGGCAUGGUAUUUGGGUACAUCUUUUACAGGCUCAACGGUCAGCCCUUCAAGAUGAACAAGAUGCGAUGCCUUGGCGCUGCACGUCUUUUUUUUCGCUUGGACUAUGAGGUCUCAUUUCACCGUCGUGGAAAAGAUGGCUAACCAGUCGGUGUGGGCUGCGACUAGUUUGGCGUGUUGAAAUUGGGUGGCAAAGUGGGUCAACGUCAUCAUGUGGAUUGCAGCCGUUGGUGCGGGUCUGGCUAUC